rnacentral:rRNA from 1 species
UACAGAGGUCUCAAGCGUUGUUCGGAAUCACUGGGCGUAAAGGGUGCGUAGGCCGCACGGAAAGUCAGAGGUGAAAUCCCGGAGCUCAACUUCGGAAUUGCCUCCGAUACUCCCGUGCUUGAGGACUGGAGAGGAGUCUGGAAUUCACAGUGGAGCAGUGAAAUGCGUAGAUAUUGUGAGGAACACUAGUGGCGAAGGCGAGACUCUGGACAGUUCCUGACGCUGAGGCACGAAGGCCAGGGGAGCAAACAGG